rnacentral:rRNA from 1 species
GUACCCAAGGAGGAAGCCACGGCUAACUACGUGCCAGCAGCCGCGGUAAUACGUAGGUGGCGAGCGUUGUCCGGAUUUACUGGGCGUAAAGGGAGCGUAGGCGGAUUCUUAAGUGGGAUGUGAAAUACCCGGGCUCAACCUGGGUGCUGCAUUCCAAACUGGGAAUCUAGAGUGCAGGAGGGGAGAGUGGAAUUCCUAGUGUAGCGGUGAAAUGCUUAGAUAUCACGAAGAACUCCGAUUGCGAAGGCAGCUUACUAACCUGUAACUGACAUUGAUGUUCGAAAGUGUGGGUAUCAAACAGGAUUAGAUACCCUGGUAGUCCACACGGUAAACGAUGAAUACUCGCUGUAGGCGAUAUACAGUCUGCGGCCAAGCGAAAGCAUUAAGUAUUCCACCUGGGGAGUACGCCGGCAACGGUGAAACUCAAAGGAAUUGACGGGGGCCCGCACAAGCGGAGGAACAUGUGGUUUAAUUCGAUGAUACGCGAGGAACCUUACCCGGGCUUAAAUUGCAACCGAAUAUGGCGGAAACGCUAUAGCUAGCAAUAGCGGUUGUGAAGGUGCUGCAUGGUUGUCGUCAGCUCGUGCCGUGAGGUGUCGGCUUAAGUGCCAUAACGAGCGCAACCCUUGCCGAUAGUUACUAACAGGUUAUGCUGAGGACUCUGUCGGGACUGCCAUCGUAAGAUGUGAGGAAGGUGGGGAUGACGUCAAAUCAGCACGGCCCUUACGUCCGGGGCUACACACGUGUUACAAUGGGGGGUACAGAGGGCUGCUACCACGCAAGUGGAUGCCAAUCCCAAAAACCUCUCUCAGUUCGGAUUGAAGUCUGCAACCCGACUUCAUGAAGCUGGAUUCGCUAGUAAUCGCGCAUCAGCCACGGCGCGGUGAAUACGUUCCCGGGCCUUGCACACACCGCCCGUCAAG